AUUGUGUUCUUUGCUGUUCUAGCAGUAGCGGUUACUGACUCCGAGUAGGUCUCCAAAUGCUGCCAAUUUUGCUGCCUUAAAGACAUUUGAUCGCCCAUCUUGCUUUAAGUGCACGGAGAUGAAGAUGCACCAGUGGGAGCUUAUCCAUUCAUAGUUUCCCUUCAAUCAUACUCACAACAUUUUUGC
rnacentral:misc_RNA from 1 species